rnacentral:rRNA from 1 species
GCAAUUAUACCGUGAAACUGCGAAUGGCUCAUUAAAUCAGUUAUCGUUUAUUUGAUAGUACCUUACUACUUGGAUACCCGUGGUAAUUCUAGAGCUAAUACAUGCUAAAAACCCCGACUUCGGGAGGGGUGUGUUUAUUAGAUAAAAAACCAACGCCCUUCGGGGCUCCUUGGUGAUUCAUGAUAACCUCUCAGAUCGCACGGCCUUGCGCCGGCGACGGUUCAUUCAAAUUUCUGCCCUAUCAACUUUCGAUGGUAAGGUAUUGGCUUACCAUGGUUUCAACGGGUAACGGGGAAUUAGGGUUCGAUUCCGGAGAGUGAGCCUGAGAAACGGCUCACACAUCCAAGGAAGGCAGCAGGCGCGCAAAUUACCCAAUCCCGACACGGGGAGGUAGUGACAAUAAAUACUGAUACAGGGCUCUUUUGGGUCUUGUAAUUGGAAUGAGUACAAUUUAAACCUCUUAACGAGGAACAAUUGGAGGGCAAGUCUGGUGGACAUUCAGCUCCCAUUCUGCUGACGCCAGAGAUAGUCGGGCAGCUUCUUCAGAAGCUGUUAUGCCGGCUAGUCGAGUACCCGCUAAUUGAUGGGAGGGUACCGGCAAGACAACCUGGAUCGGGGAAGGCUAAGGUACCUAGUGCUAUGCUAAUCCCGAGCAGAGCUAUCAUGGAGCGAUUCGUGAAUAGCCUGUGUAGAGCGCGGUAAGGUGUCGGUCAGCUCACGUAGUUGGCUUAAGGGACGUGCCAUUCCCAUUCGAAAGAGUGGCUGCCAGCAGAAGCGCCCAUCACGCGAGCGCUGGCAGGUUCAAACUUGCUUGCAGAGCAAGUCAUUGGAAGUUAUAUUAAAAGGCCAGCAGCCGCGGUAAUUCCAGCUCCAAUAGCGUAUAUUAAAGUUGUUGCAGUUAAAAAGCUCGUAGUUGAAUCUUUGGCCUGGCUGGCGGGUCCGCCUCACCGCGUGCACUUGUCCGGCCGGGCCUUCUCUUCUGGAGAACCGCAUGCCCUUCACUGGGCGUGUUGGGGACCAGGACUUUUACUUUGAAAAAAUUAGAGUGUUCAAAGCAGGCCUUUGCUCGAAUACGUUAGCAUGGAAUAAUAGAAUAGGACGUGCGGUCCUAUUUUGUUGGUUUCUAGGACCGCCGUAAUGAUUAAUAGGGACAGUCGGGGGCAUCAGUAUUCAAUUGUCAGAGGUGAAAUUCUUGGAUUUAUUGAAGACUAACUACUGCGAAAGCAUUUGCCAAGGAUGUUUUCAUUAAUCAGUGAACGAAAGUUAGGGGAUCGAAGACGAUCAGAUACCGUCGUAGUCUUAACCAUAAACUAUGCCGACUAGGGAUCGGGCGGUGUUAUCGAUUUGACCCGCUCGGCACCUUGCGAGAAAUCAAAGUG